CGGAUUGGAGUCUGCAACCCGACUCCAUGAAGCUGGAUUCGCUAGUAAUCGCGCAUCAGCCACGGCGCGGUGAAUACGUUCCCGGGCCCUUGUACACACCGCCCGUCAAGCCAUGGAAGCCGGGAGUGCCUGAAGUGCGUGAGCGCAAGCAGCGCCCUAAGGUAAAACCGGUGACUGGGGCUAAGUCGUAACAAGGUACC
rnacentral:rRNA from 1 species